GAAUUCUCAGAGCCCCCCUCCCUAUCUUUUGGCGAGUGGGUUUGGAUUGGUGGAGGAUGCACUGCUGCUGCCCCUAUAGGGCCAACUUUGCUCCUCUGAAAUGGAACAGUGUUAUGGCACAAACCGGUCGUCGGUAUGAUACUCCUUACCGGCUCCCAAACCAUGCCUAGCUGCAUUCAUUGUCUUUGUGGACAA
rnacentral:misc_RNA from 1 species